CCAGAAUCGCACGGUCCGGGUGAGCGCAACCGCGCGUUUGGGAGCCGGCAUCGGCGCAGCGUGAAGCAUAGAUCUGAAAAAUCAACACAUCAUGCCACGAUCUAAAGAAGCAGCUGAGAAACAAUGGAAAGACUUUGGGAGUCCAGUGAACCAAACAGGAACAGUGGUGAAGCUUCCCAGGAGUAUCAGGCUGACCAAAGUUACUCCAAGAGUAGAACCUGCAGGUCUCACUAGACUCGAUUAAGGUCAGAGGUCACACAGCUCCAGGUAGGUUGGCAUAACUUUUAGACCUUAAUAAAUGAAGCCAUUUAAAAAUUGCAUUUUGUCUAACAUUACAAAUGAAAAUACCAAUAAAUGAAAUGGGUGAAUGCUUGUUCACAGCACUGUUUCAGUAUAACAGUGUAUAGUAUAACAGUAUAACAGAGACAAACCUGUCUCUUAAUUUCAUUUUUCUGACUGCUGAUGAGUUCCAGCAGGAUCUGUUGACAAGUAUUUGCACAUGAGGCAUAUGAACACCGAGGGUUCAACCAGCGUGACAGCGAGGAAAAGAGAGGGUGAGGACUCUGCGAUGCCCAUGGCUGUUGCAGUGACAUUCAAGCCUUCUCUCCACAGCUGGAUGUUUUAGUGCUUGCUGACUCAAGGGACACCGCCAUCACCCGAGCAUUCACGAGGGAGCAGCCAUCAAGGCGUGACAUUGAGGACCUUGGGGAGCAGUGCCCGUGAAAUAGCUCAUUGCAGGUGUCCGAGGAGGAACGCCGGUGCUUCUGCAGAGGACAGUAAAGUUCCUCUAGAGACUAAUGUUUCUGUGUAAUGUGCCCGACCUUGGGAAGAGCUCUGCUGAGGAGCAGGAGUGUGAUGACGCUCCUCCCUCCAUCUGAUCACCACACUGAGCAACAGCCACCGUCGCUCCUCACUGUUAGCCCUUUGGUAUGUUGGUGAAGCUCGGUGCAUGCGUAAUCCCAUUUUCCAGCUCACUUCCUGCCGUUUUCCCAUUGGCUGCCCAGAGCGUGUGGCAUCCCGGAGCUCUGACCCUUCAAAUUUCACUCCAGCUGCUGCAGAAAUGUAGUAGAUGGAACAUCACGCUGGCCUUAGUUUCUGUUUAGUCUGCAAAGCCAAUAAUUUUAGGGCAAAUUGGCAAAACAGGAAAGGUGGCAUUUGGAUUUCUGUCAGUGCAUCUGAUUUGGGAAUAUAACAGUGUUUGUUGACCAAGUGGUUUAAAGUACCAAGUCCCACUGCCUGGCCACCACUGGGAUUUAACUAAGCAAAUAGGCAGCAUGUUUCCAUUGGAUAAUCAGUGCAGCUGGCAACAAGUUAUUUAACCCUCGCCGAUGCAGUGAGAAGUUGCUGAGUCAUUCCUACUAUUCAGUGCCAUUUCAAGAUGGCAUUAUUGUGUCAAAUAAUUCAACUUUCCAUUAUUUUGUUUGUUAAACUGUUAGAAAAAUAUACAAGUCCACAUUCUCAUUGCAGGACACAGGUCAAAGGUUUCCCCCUGUACAAUUUUAUUUUUAGCCACUUUUGCUCAUGUGAUGAACAACAGGCUCAUGAGGACAAGAUUUUUUGCAACCAUAUGUUCAAAAUGACAAAUAUGACAGGUUACACUAUAGAUGACACAUCAGCGAACCACUAAAACAUGAUGAAAAGAAGUUGAUGAAAGCGUGACGAUUACCCUGGUCUUGAGUUAUCUUCCUGGUUUAAAUAAAAGAUUUGCAUUGCAGGCAUUUUAUUUUUCAGUAUGAAAUGGGGUUGCAUUUAUAUAUCAUUUUUCUUACCUCAGUUUGCAUCGACACUUUGGUCAAUUUAGAAUCAACCAGUUAACCUAACAUGCAAACGGACCAUGGUAGGAAGCUUGAGUAGACCCAUACAGGCACAGGGAGCAUAUGCAAACACCCCAUAGAAAGGUGACAGAGCUAAAUAGCCAAUUAUAAAAACCUCAAACAGGCAAGGCUUCUGGGGCAUGAGGCCAUGAAGGUCAGACUGAGAGAGCAAUCUUAGAAACCCUGUUAGAGUUGGACCAGCCUUAUUUAAUAGAUUAUGAUAAACAUGCACUGAUGGGGAAACACUGUAUGCUUCAGAACUGCGUGAUGUUAUGUCUUGACGUGUCGGGUCUUAUGAGAUUUUCAUACCAAUGUUAAUCUGAUUGAUGCAUCUGUGGCCCUCUCACCAACAUAAGAUCGUAGUGUCUGAAAUCAGAGCUCUGUAACACAACCCAGUUACUUUCAACAGCCAGACACUGAUGCCACGGUUAAACAAAGGGUACAGUACUGAGCAAAUACAGGCUUUCGGUUACCCCAGGACCUCUGAUAGUUUGUUACCUCACUGAAAACAAGACGGGAACAUUUGCUGGCAGAAGAGAGGAACCCUUCCUAGACGACCAGAAUUAAAAAUCAGCAGGAACUGACGAUUUUCACAGCACGAUUUAGGAGAUUAAUUCUGCACCACAUUCGUCUCCACUCGGAUCUUUUUUUAGACUCCUUUGGGUACAUUAGUUUGUCAUUUCCAGUGCAUGUGUGAAUGACAAACUUCCAACUGAAAAGAAAAUGGCUCGAUCUGCGUUUCUAACAUUCAGUUAAAACAUGCACCCCACCCCAAGUUUUGAAUUUAUUUAUUUUUAGUCGUUGGUAGCUUUACUUUUUUCUUCUCCUUUAAAUCGAUCUAUUGAUCUCCUAGGAUUUUCCUACAUAACCAUCUUUAAGGUUUACAGAGAAUGGUGUGAGCCCAAUUGCUUUAAGCUGAUAGGAAGAAAACAGUAACUCAAAUAACCACU